AUUGAACGCUGGCGGCGUGCUUAACACAUGCAAGUCGAACGAGAACGGAUUAUAGCUUGCUAUAAUUGUCAGCUAAGUGGCGCACGGGUGAGUAAUAUAUAGAUAACCUGCCCUCUAGAAAGGAAUAGCAGUUGGAAACGACUGCUAAUGCCCUAUAUGCCUUUAAUACAUAAGUAUGCAAGGGAAACGCUUUAGUGCUAGAGGAUGGGUCUGUAUGGUAUCAGCUUGUUGGUGAGGUAAUGGCUCACCAAGGCUAUGACGCCUAACUGGUUUGAGAGGAUGAUCAGUCACACUGGAACUGAGACACGGUCCAGACUCCUACGGGAGGCAGCAGUGGGGAAUAUUGCACAAUGGACGAAAGUCUGAUGCAGCAACGCCGCGUGGAGGAUGACACAUUUCGGUGCGUAAACUCCUUUUAUAUAGGAAGAUAAUGACGGUACUAUAUGAAUAAGCACCGGCUAACUCCGUGCCAGCAGCCGCUGUAAUAC
rnacentral:rRNA from 1 species